UACGGAGGAUGCAAGCGUUAUCCGGAAUCAUUGGGCGUAAAGCGUUCGUAGGUGGCUUUUCAAGUCUGCUGUCAAAGCACAAGGCUUAACCUUGUAAAGGCAGUGGAAACUGAAAUGGCUAGAGUGCGGUAGGGGUAGAGGGAAUUCCCAGUGUAGCGGUGAAAUGCGUAGAGAUUGGGAAGAACACCGGUGGCGAAAGCGCUCUACUGGGCCUGCACUGACACUGAGGAGCGAAAGCCAGGGGAGCAAACGGG
rnacentral:rRNA from 1 species